UUUCCGUAGGUGAACCUGCGGAAGGAUCAUUCAUAAUAAGUGUUUUAUGGCGCUUUUUAAAUCCAUAUCCACCUUGUGUGCAAUGUCAGGGUUGAUUUUUCUCUCGAGAGGAUCAGCCCCAAACAUCAACUAUAUCUCAACUCUUUGUCUGAAAAAUAUUAUGAAUAAAACAAUUCAAAAUACAACUUUCAACAACGGAUCUCUUGGCUCUC
rnacentral:misc_RNA from 1 species